rnacentral:rRNA from 1 species
UGUGUAGGCGGCUACGCAAGUCGGAUGUGAAAUCCCCGGGCUCAACCCGGGAAGUGCACCCGAUACUGCGCAGCUUGAGUACCGGAGAGGUUGGCGGAAUUCUCGGUGUAGAGGUGAAAUUCGUAGAUAUCGAGAGGAACACCGGCGGCGAAGGCGGCCAACUGGACGAGUACUGACGCUGAGACACGAAAGCGUGGGGAGCAAACAGGAUUAGAUACCCUGGUAGUCCACGCCGUAAACGAUGGGUGCUAGGUGUCACGGGCUUUGACUCCUGUGGUGCCGUAGCUAACGCAUUAAGCACCCCGCCUGGGAAGUACGGCCGCAAGGCUAAA